UACGUAGGGGCAAGCGUUGUCCGGAUUUAUUGGGCGUAAAGAGCGUGUAGGCGGCCGAGUAAGUCUGACGUGAAAUCUGGAGGCUCAACCUCCAGCUGUCGUUGGAAACUAUUCGGCUAGAGUCCGGAAGAGGAGAGUGGAAUUCCCGGUGUAGCGGUGAAAUGCGCAGAUAUCGGGAGGAACACCAAUGGCGAAGGCAGCUCGCUGGGACGGUACUGACGCUGAGAUGCGAAAGCGUGGGGAGCAAACAGGAUUAGAUACCCCGAGUAGU
rnacentral:rRNA from 1 species